UACGGGUGAGGCAAGCGUUGUUCGGAAUCAUUGGGCUUAAAGCGCGUGUAGGCGGCGUCGUAAGUACUUUGUGAAAUCCCUUUUCUCAAUUAAGGAAUUGCUUGGUAUACUGCGAUGCUUGAGGCAGGUAGGGGUGCUUGGAACUCUAGGUGGAGCGGUGAAAUGCGUAGAUAUCUAGAGGAACGCCAGUGGCGAAAGCGGAGCACUGGGCCUGUCCUGACGCUGAGACGCGAAAGCGUAGGUAGCAAACGGG
rnacentral:rRNA from 1 species